UUAUUGUAAAACACACGGUAAUGGGGGGGGAGCAGGAAAAGGGGCUGAGCUGGACCCAAGGAAAGAAACAAUAAGUAUUCAAAAACACCCCUAAGCUAAACUAGCCUACUUUAACAACAGCUAACUAACUAACCAAAAAUACAGUGGGUGGUCCGCCCAGUUCAAACUAGUGUAUUUAACAAAGUCUACCUACGGGUAGUGUAUGCCCAUGGGCGACUUGUCUUGGUUUCCCCUUUUUCCACCAGCAAACAAACAAACACCAUAACUAAAACAAUAAUCACAGGUGAUGAAAGUUCUAUGGAGGUGCUCAAACAAAAGAGAGGUUAAUACACAAAGAGAGGUUAAUACACAAAGAGAGGUUAAUACACAAAGAGAGGUUAAUGCACAAAGAGAGGUUAAUGCACAAAGAGAGGUUAAUGCACAAAGAGAGGUUAAUGCACAAAGAGAGGUUAAUGCACAAAGAGAGGUUAAUGCACAAAGAGAGGUUAAUACACAAAGAGAGGUUAAUACACAAAGAGAGGUUAAUACACAAAGAGAGGUUAAUACACAGAGAGCUACAGACAUGGCAUUUACAGAGAGAUUGAGCUCUAGAGCAAACAACUGAUGGGGUUUUUAAACCAAGGGAAAGGAACUGUGAUUGGGUAGGAAACAGGAGGAGGUGUGUCUUCUGAUUGAU